rnacentral:rRNA from 1 species
CUGUACAGUUCAGAGUUUGAUCCUGGCUCAGAGCGAACGUUAGCGGCGGGCCUAACACAUGCAAGUCGAACGAGAAAGUCCUUCGGGAUGAGUAAAGUGGCGCACGGGUGAGUAACACGUAGGUAAUCUACCCAUUGGUGGGGGAUAACAUCCCGAAAGGGGUGCUAAUACCGCAUAAGCCCACAGCUUCCACGGAAGCAGGGGGAAAAGGUGGCGACCCGCAAGGGGCUACCGCCAAAGGAGGAGCCUGCGUCCCAUCAGCUAGUUGGUAGGGUAACGGCCUACCAAGGCGAAGACGGGUAGCUGGUCUGAGAGGAUGAUCAGCCACACUGGCACUGGAACACGGGCCAG